rnacentral:miRNA from 1 species
UUGGAAAGAAGGGAGCUCUAC